rnacentral:rRNA from 1 species
CGCGCAGGUGGUUUCUUAAGUCUGAUGUGAAAGCCCACGGCUCAACCGUGGAGGGUCAUUGGAAACUGGGAGACUUGAGUGCAGAAGAGGAUAGUGGAAUUCCCGGUGUAACGGUGGAAUGUGUAGAUAUAUGGAGGAACACCGGUGGCGAAAGCGGCUCUCUGGUCUGUAACUGACACUGAGGCUCGAAAGCGUGGGGAGCAAACA